CCCGUGCCGCGCCCCUUCUUCCUCACACGCGAUCACCGUGCCCUAACCGGCCGCACGGGCGGUUUCUCCUCCCCGAGUGCACAAAAACCCUCGACCUCCUUUCCCACUUAGCCGCCGGCGACGCACCGAGCCACCCCGAGUAUCUUCUUCUCUACCCGACGCUGCCGCCGGCCGAGUUCCAUCUUCCCGCACGAAGCAGUGCAGCGACAGCCGCUUCUCCACCGCCGCACACCCUUUUCUUCCUCCUCUCCUCUGCCGACGCCGGCGACCCAUUCUCUGCCCUAGUCGAGCACACCGCCGACUGCCCCUAUGCCUGGUUUCACUGCCCGGUGUUUACUCCGAUCGCCGGUGCCCUAGCCUCUGCCUCCCGAUCCCUCUUCCCUGCAGCGACGCCAACUACUCACCCGUGCUCUAGCACAGAAGCCGAACUCUAGCGCCUAAUGCCAUCUUACCGGCCGAGGUUUAGCUGUGCCCUAGCUCUGAGCAUUUCUUUCUCCUCAGAGCAUUGGUGAUACGAUAUUGUGAUAGAAAGAUCCUUGAUACAACAGAUCGGCGAUAUUAGAGCAGCAAACAACCCUUCAUUGGCAACAAGAAUGGUUGUGAAUUGAGGACUUUGACGCGAGACGCGUAUCUCGACGUCGUGUUUGAGUCAGAUUGGAC